UAGGAUAGGUGGGAGGCUUGGAAGUGUGGACGCCAGUCUGCAUGGAGCCGACCUUGAAAUACCACCCUUUAAUGUUUGAUGUUCUAACGUUGACCCGUAAUCCGGGUUGCGGACAGUGUCUGGUGGGUAGUUUGACUGGGGCGGUCUCCUCCUAAAGAGUAACGGAGGAGCACGAAGGUUGGCUAAUCCUGGUCGGACAUCAGGAGGUUAGUGCAAUGGCAUAAGCCAGCUUGACUGCGAGCGUGACGGCGCGAGCAGGUGCGAAAGCAGGUCAUAGUGAUCCGGUGGUUCUGAAUGGAAGGGCCAUCGCUCAACGGAUAAAAGGUACUCCGGGGAUAACAGGCUGAUACCGCCCAAGAGUUCAUAUCGACGGCGGUGUUUGGCACCUCGAUGUCGGCUCAUCACAUCCUGGGGCUGAAGUAGGUCCCAAGGGUAUGGCUGUUCGCCAUUUAAAGUGGUACGCGAGCUGGGUUUAGAACGUCGUGAGACAGUUCGGUCCCUAUCUGCCGUGGGCGCUGGAGAACUGAGGGGGGCUGCUCCUAGUACGAGAGGACCGGAGUGGACGCAUCACUGGUGUUCGGGUUGUCAUGCCAAUGGCACUGCCCGGUAGCUAAAUGCGGAAGAGAUAAGUGCUGAAAGCAUCUAAGCACGAAACUUGCC
rnacentral:rRNA from 1 species